GAUGAACGCUGGCGGCGUGCCUAAUACAUGCAAGUCGAGCGAACAGACGAGGAGCUUGCUCCUCUGACGUUAGCGGCGGACGGGUGAGUAACACGUGGAUAACCUACCUAUAAGACUGGGAUACCUUCGGGAAACCGGAGCUAAUACCGGAUAAUAUAUUGAACCGCAUGGCUCAAUAGUGAAAGACGGUUUUGCUGUCACUUAUAGAUGGAUCCGCGCCGCAUUAGCUAGUUGGUAAGGUAACGGCUUACCAAGGCAACGAUGCGUAGCCGACCUGAGAGGGUGAUCGGCCACACUGGAACUGAGACACGGUCCAGACUCCUACGGGAGGCAGCAGUAGGGAAUCUUCCGCAAUGGGCGAAAGCCUGACGGAGCAACGCCGCGUGAGUGAUGAAGGUCUUCGGAUCGUAAAACUCUGUUAUUAGGGAAGAACAAAUGUGUAAGUAACUAUGCACGUCUUGACGGUACCUAAUCAGAAAGCCACGGCUAACUACGUG
rnacentral:rRNA from 1 species